rnacentral:misc_RNA from 1 species
CCGAGUUAUACAACUCAUCAACCCUGUGAACAUACCUAUAACGUUGCCUCGGCGGGAACAGACGGCCCCGUAACACGGGCCGCCCCGCCAGAGGACCCCCUAACUCUGUUUCUAUAAUGUUUCUUCUGAGUAAACAGCAAAUAAAUUA